rnacentral:lncRNA from 1 species
AAUAACUAGGGCAAGAACAAAAGAAGAAGAAAAGACGAGUAGGUUAGAAACUUAAAAUAUGCAGACAAAAACAAGUGCGUUGAACUUAUCUGCAUCACAAGUAUAGAUCCCGUGACACCACAGCAUGGCCAACUUUUCGGUUCACGGGACCACCGUCUGCAUGCAGUACUGCUCCUCCCAUACCUUCCCACCACCACCAAUAAUAUUCCCUUGCUUCUCAUUCCCCUAUAAAACCCACCAACUUUGGAGUUCCAAAAUCCACAACCUUAACGCACCAAAUAAUUCCUAUAAGAAAAGAUAUGGAGGGUGCUCGUCAAAAGCUGGUCGUAGUUUUGGCUGCUGUGGUUUUGGUUGCAAUUGCAGGCAAUGGCGGUUUUGUUCAGGUUGCUAAUGCUCAGAACAUAUGCAACGUCUCUGUCACCGAUUUGAUGAAGUGUAGGCCGGCUGUGACUUCUCCGAAUCCGGCACCGCCUACUAAAGCCUGCUGCGCCGCGCUGUCGCACGCCAACCUGAGCUGCCUUUGCUCCUACAAGAACUCCAGUGUCUUGCCUUCUCUGGGAAUUGACCCUAACCUUGCCCUACAGCUUCCCGCCAAGUGCAAGCUUCCCCAUCCUGCCAAUUGCUAGACAGAGCGACGUACACAAUGGUCUAAUCAACAAACAUGAUUUAGUUACGAUUAAGAUAUGAUUAAUCGUGUAAUCAUGUACAACUUUGGAUAAUUAAUAUGCUUUCCUAUGUGUAAUGUAAGCAUGUUUAGUUGGAUGUGUGCGUUUGUCCAAUUUGCUAUCAUGUUAUGUAAUAUUAUUAAUAAUACAAAUCUCGUUUUUUUUUUUUUUUCCGGUAACAAGCCUCUUUGAAUACAAAUUUUAGGGACAGGACUUACCACAGGCCUCUUUCAAUACAAAUCUCGGCUUUCACAUAAGUGGUUACGUUCAAAUUAUUGAAUAUAUAAUUAAGAUUGCAGUCACAUAUUUCACAUAUAACUCUAGUUUUUUUAUAUGGUUUUCGAGAGAAGAAAUUUAUUAAGCUAAUAGGCUCCAGCAAGUGAGGAAUAUCUCCCAUCAAAAUUUCACAAGUAUUAUCUCUACUAAUUAAUGAAAUCCUUUUUGUCAACCAAAAGAAAGUGAAAAAAACAAUUAGUCUUCUAUCACAAAAAAAAAAAAAUUGAUGGGCAAUAAUGUAAUUUCACAGGUUCAAAUUUUAUUGUUUUUUAUUAAAACCUCACCUACAGGUGAUGUUAAAAUACCUCCAAUAUUAUUAUAAAAAAAACAACCAUAAACAAAAACCUUCCACUCCACCCAUGUUCUCUCUCUCUCCCUCUCUCCUUCUCAUUUUCUAAAAAAAAUGUGUUCAUACACACAAAGUGUGUAGGCAAAUGUUAGUAAUUAUUAAGAUGAUUAAGAUCUAAAGAUUCCUAAUCCUUCAACAGUGUGUGUGUGUGUGUGUGUGUGUGUGUGUGUGUGUGUGUGUGUGUGUGUAAUAACUGAACAACACUUUGGUUCCACAUUAAUUUGUAAAGAAAUUCCUUCACAAUUUUGUGAAGCCAAAAAAUUGUUCUUAAAAUGAUUCGUCGUCCAAAUGUGCUGAUGCAUCAACACAAUUUAAGAAAUUAAUUGGCAAUUUUAAGUCCCACGUUAAAUAUCCAAAGGUUAAAAUAUACUUUUGAGUUUUACUAUGAACUCUUGGAUAAUAUAAUAUAUACACGAAUGCAUUUUGAGUUGAGCAUAAUUCUUGUACAAAAUAAACAAAUGAACCUCUUAUACCAUAAGCUUUUAUGGAGAAGACGAGCAUCAUCUCCAAUAAUGUACAUACAAACGGGGGCCGUCAGACCGAUCUACUGGCGUCUACGGACGGUUCAACGCUCGAUGGAGAUACCUCUGCGCCGUAAUCCCAGAAUUGUUUCAGCUCGCGCCUUAUCAGUCCCAAAAUCACUACAACACCUGGUGACCAGAGAAGGAAUAAGAAGGCAAAGUAAAAUAUCUGCAAAUUUUAUCGGCCUAAAAUUGGAAAAACGCGUCUAGAAAACCAAACAGAAGAUGUAAGAUCAAUGCGCUGGAGAUUACCUAGUGUACAUGGAACGAGAUAGAGGAGUGCAGGCUGGCCGUUGCCAUUCAUGAGAUACAAACCCAGGUAAGUAAGACCGUGUCCUGGAAAAGGAAUAACGUUCCAUUUAAGACCGUGUCCUGGAAAAGGAAUAACGUUCCAUUAGUACCACAUGAGACAAUAUGGACAUGUUUAGUUCGAUCAUGCUGCAGUCUGCUAUUAAAAGGAAAUGAAAUAAAUACAGGAGCGUGAAAAUCACUACCGUAUCCAGAAUUCUAAUAACUAGGGCAAAUAAUACUAAUAACUACGGCAAGAACAAAAGAAGAAGAAAAGACAAGUAGGUUAGAAACUUAACAUAUGCAGACAAAAACAAGUGCGUUGAACUUAUCUGCAUCACAAGUAUAGAUCCCGUGACACCACAGCAUGGCCAACUUUUCGGUUCACGGGACCGCUGUCUGCAUGCAGUACUGCUCCUCCCAUUCCUUCCCACCACCACCACCACCACCAAUAAUAAUCCUUUGCUUCCAAGGUUAUAAAAAAACUAGGUGCUAGUUAGGCGGCAAACUGAGAUCUAAUGCCUAGGCGGUUAGGUGAGGCCUAGAAGGUGUCUGGGCGGACUAUGCGGAUUUAAGUAAAUUUAUUAUAUUUCGUAUAAAUAAAUAUUUGUUUAUACUUAAUAUUAUAUAUAUAUAUAUAUAUAUAUAAUUUCAUCACAAACUACAAAAUAGAAUGAUAUAUAUAUAUAUAUAUUAUGAAGUAUUGGAACACACUGAAAACAUGGGGAACAAACAUAUAAUGUGUGUUCAAUUAAGUAUUCAACAAGUCUCGCUUUCAAUUGAUUGAAAAAAAAAUGCAAAAUGAAAGUUAUCUAUUUUCUGUCUAAGUGAGUCGCAACCUAGACGAGUACUUAGACGGGCCUGGGAGGGCUAGGCAGGUGCCUAGGCGGUCUAGGCACCCCUUCUUAAUUUUGAAAUGCUUAGGCAUUAAUUGGGGUUGUGGCCAGCCGCCUAGCGCCGGGGAUUUUUAGAACAGUGUUUGCUUCUCAUUCCCCCUAUAAAACCCACCAACUUUGGAGCUCCAAAAACCACAACCUUAACGCACCAAACAAUUCCUAUAAGAAAAGAUAUGGAGGGUGCUCGUCAAAAGCUGGUCGUAGUUUUGGCUGCUGUGGUUUUGGUUGCAAUUGCAGGCAAUGGCGGUUUUGUUCAGGUUGCUAAUGCCCAGAACAUAUGCAACAUCUCUGUCACCGGUUUGAUGACUUGCAGGCCGGCUGUGACUUCUCCGAAUCCGGCACCGCCUACAAAAGCCUGCUGCGCGGCGCUGUCGCACGCCAACCUGAGCUGCCUUUGCUCCUACAAGAACUCCAGUGUCUUGCCUUCUCUGGGGAUUGACCCUAACCUUGCCCUACAGCUUCCCGCCAAGUGCAAGCUUCCCCAUCCUGCCAAUUGCUAGACAGAGCUACGUACAAAAUGGUGCAAUAAACAAACAUGAUUUAGUUACGAUUAAGAUAUGAUUAAUCGUGCAAUCAUGCACAACUUAGGAUAAUUAAUAUGCUUUCCUAUAUGUAAUGUAAGCAUCUUUAUAGUUUGGAUGUGUGCGUUUCUUUUGUCGUUCUAUUUCAAUUUGCUAUCAUGUUUUCGAUAUAAUGUAAUAUUAUUAAUAAUACAAAUCUCGGUUUUCUUUUUUUUUUCUUUUUUUCUUUUUCCGGUAACAAGCCUCUUUGAAUACAAAUUUUAGAAACGGAACUUACCACAAGCCUCUUUGAAUACAAAUCUCGGUUUUCACAUAAGUGGUUACGUUCAAAUUAUGGAAUAUAUAAUUAAGAUUGCAGUCACCUUUUUUCACAUAGAACUCUAGUUUUUUUGUAUGGUUUUCGAGAGAAAUGGAAUUUAUUAAGCUAAUAGGCUCCAGCAAGUGAGGAAUAUCCCCCAUCAAAAUUUCACGAGUAAUAUAACUAUUAAGGUGAUUAAGAUCUAAAGAUUCCUAAUCUUUCAACAAUAUAUAUAUAUAUAUGGGAUAAGAUCAAGGGACAAAUAUUUUUACAAAUACUUUUACACUCUUUUUAAGCCUUUUGAUUACAUGACAUCCAAUGGUUCUUAUUUAUUCAUUAAAUGACAUGGAUGCUUAUGUGGAUUUUAACUAAUAUUAAAGAUAAAAAAAAACAGAAAAAAAAAUAUAAAACUGGAAAAUUAAAACUAAAAUUAAAAAAGGAAGAAGCUCUAGUUGUACACAUUCCUCCUUCUCCCCCUUUGCUAAUGUGGUUUUGCAACUUCAUGUCCUGGAUUGAUACGAAAUUAUGAUGCCUUCUACAAGAAGCUCUAGUUGUGAUUUCUGCAGCUCUCGUUUCAAAUUUCCAACCAUCUUGCCGACCCCAACCUAUAGCAUGACCUGCAACAUGAAGUUGCAAAACCACAUCAGCAAAGGGGGAGACGGAGGACUACGUACAACUAGGGUUUCUUCCUUUUUUUAAUUUUAGUUUUCAUUUUCCAGAUUUUAUGUUUUUUUUAGUUUUAUUUUAUCUUUAAUAUUAGUUAAAAUCCACAUACGCAUCUAUGUCAUUUAAUGAAUAAAUAAGAACAAUUAGAUGUCAUGUGUUUGUACCAUACUUGACCAAUCCCGAAACUACUGAGCACCGGUCAACGUUAUACCGUCAAGGACCCAGAAGAGUUUCCCUCCAACCAGGUGGAGGCCAAUCACAGCGCGACACGUGUCGAUAUCAGAAGCCAAUCAUAGCGCGACACGUGUCAACAUCAGAAGUCAAGCACAACACGACACGUGUCAAUGUCAGAACAAAGCUAGAAACUCUCUUCUAUAAAAGGAGAUCAUUCUCCCACAAUAUUUCCUAAUGUCAUUUGUACUAAAUCAUUCACUAGUACUCACUAAAUGAGAGCUUGAAUCUAUGUACUUGUGUAAACCCUUCAUAAUUAAUGAGAACUCCUCUACUCCGUGGACGUAGCCAAUCUGGGUGAACCACGUAGAUCUUGUGUUUGCUUCCCUGUCUCUAUCCAUUUACAUACUUAUCCACACUAGUGACCGAAGCAAUCUAGCGAAGGUCACAAACUUGACACUUUCUGUUGUACUAAAGUUCUCACUGAUUUUGUGCAUCAACAUCAUGUAAUCAAAAAGCUUAAAAAGAAUGUAAAAGUAUUUGUAAAAAUAUUUGUCCUUUGAUCCUAUCCCUAUAUAUAUAUAUAUAUAUAUAUAUAUGGGAGCAAAGUUGCAUUUGAUCGAAUGAAAUUACCGGAACAUCCUCAAAAAAAAACAUAAAAGUUGGGUUAUGACAGUUUGAGAGGCUAAUUCUAAAAUAAUAAGAGAGAAAUUAAUUAAAAGGAAAACUAAUGAAAAGGGCUUGAAAACUUUGAGUUUUAAUGAUAAGGACAAAAUAAAGGGUAAAGUGAAUAGUACCAGGAUUGACUUUUUAGUGUAAAAAUGUGGUUUUUCGUUAAAGUGAACAGUACCGGGUGCUUUUCGUUAAAGUUCCCUUAAUUAAAACUGGAGACCGUUUAGUUGGUCAAACAUAAACAAAAAGAUAAAUGGCCUACCAACUCAAACCAUCUAUUCCAACCUCAAAUUUUAUAAUUCAUUGCAAAAUUGUUUUUUGCAUAGUGAAUUAUAAUAUGAACGGUUCCAAUAACUGAACAACACUUUGGUUCCGCAUUAAUUUGUAAAGAAAUUCCUUCACAAUUUUGUGAAGCCAAAAAAUUGUUCUUAAAAUGAUUCGUCGUCCAAAUGUGCUGAUGCAUCCACACAAUUUAAGAAAUUGAAUUGGCAAUUUUAAGACCACGUUAAAUAUCCAAAGGUUAAAAUAUACUUUUGAGUUUUACUAUGAACUCUUGGAUAACAUAAUAUAUACAUGAAUGCAUUUUGAGUUGAGCAUAAUUCUUGUACAAAAUAAACAAAUGAACCUCUUAUACCAUAAGCUUUUAUGGAGAAGACGAGCAUCAUCUCCAAUAAAGUACAUACAAACGGGGGCCGUCAGACCGAUCUACGUACUGGCGUCUACGGACGGUUCAACGCUCGAUGGAGAUACCUCUGCGUUGUAAUACCAGAGUUGUUUCAGCUCGUGCCUUAUCAGUCCCAAAAUCACUGUAACACCUAGUGACCAGAGAAGGAAUAGAAGGCAAAGUAAAACAUCUGCAAAUUUUACCGGCCUAAAAUUGGAAAAACGCGUCUAGAAAACCAAACAGAAGAUGUAAGAUCAAUGCGCUGGAGAUUACCUAGUGUACAUGGAACGAGAUAGAGGAGUGCAGGCUGGCCGUUGCCAUUCAUGAGAUACAAACCCAGGUAAGUAAGACCGAGUCCUGGAAAAGGAAUAACGUACCAUUAGUACCACAUGAAGACAAUAUGGACAUGUUUAGUUCGAUCAUGCUGCAGUCUGCUAUUAAAAGGAAAUGGAAUAAAUACAGGAGCGUGAAAAUCACUACCGUAUCCAGAAUUCUAAUAGCUAGGGCAAGUAAUACUAAUAACUAGGGCAAGAACAAAAGAAGAAGAAAAGACGAGUAGGUUAGAAACUUAAAAUAUGCAGACAAAAACAAGUGCGUUGAACUUAUCUGCAUCACAAGUAUAGAUCCCGUGAAACCACAGCAUGGCAACUUUUCGGUUCACGGGACCGCUGUCUGCAUGCAGUACUGCUCCUCCCAUUCCUUCCCACCACCACCACCAAUAAUAAUCCUUUGCUUCUCAUUCCCCCUAUAAAACUAAAGCAGCAGAGAACCGACUGGCUGCGUGCAUUCCCUCCACAACACCCCAACGCGUAAGUUAAUCAGGAUGGAUCGACAGGCUUUCCAAACCUACAGGUCUCUAUGGAGGGUGCUCGUCAAAAGCUGGUCGUAGUUUUGGCUGCUGUGGUUUUGGUUGUAAUUGCAGGCAAUGGCGGUUUUGUUCAGGUUGAUAAUGCUCAGAACAUAUGCAACGUCUCUGUCACCGAUUUGAUGACUUGCAGGGCGGCUGUGACUUCUCCGAAUCUGGCACCGCCUACAAAAGCCUGCUGCGCGGCGCUGUCGCACGCCAACCUGAGCUGCCUUUGCUCCUACAAGAACUCCAGUGUCUUGCCUUCUCUGGGGAUUGACCCUAACCUUGCCCUACAGCUUCCCGCCAAGUGCAAGCUUCCCCAUCCUGCCAAUUGCUAGACAGAGCGACGUACACAAUGGUCUAAUCAACAAACAUGAUUUAGUUACGAUUAAGAUAUGAUUAAUCGUGCAAUCAUGUACAACUUCGGAUAAUU